CUAAGGUUAUUUUGUAACAUAUAAUGCUAAGGUUUGUAAUAUGUUUGUGUAUCUCGUCCAAGUGGGAGAUUGUAAGAUAUAUGGACUUAUAUCUACAUCAUAUGAACAAUAUAUGGAUAAAUUAUAUGUUAUGUGCUAUCUUUUGGUUUGGCCUCAUUUUGUGGUCUUAUGGACAUUAUGUUAAGGGGGCCAAUGUGUUGUCAUAUAAAGUGUAGGACUAAUGUGUAGAUACCCAAAAGGGUAACCUUAGUNNNN
rnacentral:lncRNA from 1 species